UACGAAGGGGGCUAGCGUUGCUCGGAAUCACUGGGCGUAAAGGGUGCGUAGGCGGGUCUUUAAGUCAGGGGUGAAAUCCUGGAGCUCAACUCCAGAACUGCCUUUGAUACUGAGGAUCUUGAGUUCGGGAGAGGUGAGUGGGAACUGCGAGUGUAGAGGUGAAAUUCGUAGAUAUUCGCAAGAACACCAGUGGCGAAGGCGGCUCACUGGCCCGAUACUGACGCUGAUGCACGAAAGCGUGGGGAGCAACAGG
rnacentral:rRNA from 1 species